rnacentral:rRNA from 1 species
AUUGAACGCUGGCGGCAGGCCUAACACAUGCAAGUCGAGCGAGCGGCGGACGGGUGAGUAAUGUAUGGGGACUGCCCGAUAGAGGGGGAUAACUAAUGGAAACGGUGGCUAAUACCGCAUACUGUCGGAUAACCCAUAUGGGAAUAGCGAGUAGGUAAGGUGAUGGCUUACCUAGGCGACGAUCCCUAGCUGGUCUGAGAGGAUGAUCAGCCACACUGGGACUGAGACACGGCACAGACUCUUACGGAGGCAGCAGUGGGGAAUAUUGCACAAUGGGCGCAAGCCUUAUGGAGCAACGCCGCGUGAGUGAUGACGGCCUUCGGGUUGUAAAGCUCUGUUAAUCGGGAGACGGUACCGGAAUAGAAAGCCACGGCUAACUACGUGCCAGCAGCCGCGGUAAUUC